UACGUAGGGGGCAAGCGUUGUCCGGAUUUAUUGGGCGUAAAGAGCGUGUAGGCGGCUAGAUAGGUCCGUUGUGAAAACUCGAGGCUCAACCUCGAGACGUCGAUGGAAACCAUCUGGCUAGAGUCCGGAAGAGGAGAGUGGGAAUUCCUGGUGUAGCGGUGAAAUGCGCAGAUAUCAGGAAGAACACCCGUGGCGAAGGCGGCUCUCUGGUACGUGACUGACGCUGAGACGCGAAAGCGUGGGGAGCGAACAGG
rnacentral:rRNA from 1 species